rnacentral:tRNA from 1 species
UAGAUGAAUGCUCGCUGGUUGGGGCGCCUAGCUGUUAACUAGGCGGUUGUAGGAUCGAGGCCUACUCAUCUAG